rnacentral:lncRNA from 1 species
UCUCUCUACAGAAAGAGAGAGAUCGGUUACUAUACUCUUAUGAGUACGAUCGCUCUUGUGUUCAUAAAUCAUAUUCGGUGAUAGAGCUUCUGAAUCGACAAUCCAUACUAUUAAACAUUAUGCAGAGCAUUUAAAAUUUAUAGAAAUCAAAUUUUAUAAUUUUUCCGACAUCAUUUACUUUACGAUCAAAAUGUCACAAAAUUGACAAAUUUUAAUGGCCGGUAUGAAAUACUUACUAGUUUAACGGUGUAAUAAAAUUAGAAUAAAUUAAUUUUUUGAUAAAAAAUUUUAUUCACUACCUAGAUAAAGAUCAAUAACUCCGAUUUUAAAUUUAAAAAUGUCAACAUUGGUUAUAAUUAACUGCAAUACAUUCUAUACGUUAUAUACAAGUAUUACGUAGAAAACUCUCUCUCUCAGUAAAUUCUUGUUUGGAGGGUUUUUAUUAGCUUCUCUCUCUCUCUCUCUCUCUACAGAAUCUCUCUCUCUCUACAGAAAGAGAGAGACCUUUGAUCACAAAAUUGACAAUUUUUAACGGUUGGUAUGAAAUACUUACUAUUUUAACGGUGUAAAAAAAUUAGAAUAAGUUAAAUUUUUGAUAAAAAAUUCUAUUCACUGCUUAGAUAAAGAUCAAUAACUCCGAUCUUAAAUUUAAAAAUGUCAACAUUAAUUGGUUAUAAUUAACUGCAAUACAUUCUAUAUGUUAUAUACAAGUAUUAUGUAGAAAACUCUCUCUCUCAGUAAAUUCUUGUUUGGAGGGUCUUUAUUAGCUUCUCUCUCUCUCUCUCUCUCUCUCUCUACAGAAAGAGAGAGACCUUUGAUCAUAAAAUUGACAAUUUUUAACGGUUGGUAUGAAAUACUGUUACGAUAUAUUUUAUCUAUAUUAGGAUGUUACGAUAUAUUAGGAUAUUGUGUUUUAUUGCCUUAUAUAGAGUAGUAUCAUUGCCUUCUAUAGAGUAGGAUUAUAUAACAUGUAAUCCUAGUUAUACUCUUACUAUAGUAGUCAUUGUUACUAUAGUAAGACAAUCUCUUGUACUAUAUAUAUUCAUUAAUACAACUCAAGAGGGUAUGCACUUUAGCCCUUCUUUCAUGGUAUCAGAGCAGGAGGUCCUGAGUUCGAGUCACACCAGGCUCCUAGCAUAUUAAUUUCCUCCCAUUUAAUUCAAGCCCACGUCAUGGGCCGAUUAAAAAGUCUCGAGCCCAGACGUGAGGGGGAGUGUUAAAUAUAAAAAUGUUUAAAAACACCAUUCUCUAACAGCUUAAGCCUUUAGAGUACACUGGUUGUUUGUUUGUCAUUCUUCCUCUGGCACUCUUGUUCUCCUCUUGUAUGUUGAUGAUAUAAUUGUCACCAGCAGUUCCUCUUCUCUUCUCGAUGCUCUUAUCGUUACUUUACAACGCGAAUUUGCCAUGAAGGAUCUCGG